GGGCCUGAACUAGAUUCGACACGGAGGCUGAGAGCGAAGCUGCGAGCCGGAGUUGGUCAGGUACUCCGCAAAAACCCGACCAAGACACAAACGCCAACGACGACAAUGUCCCGGCGCAGAUGCUCCGCGCGGCCUGAGCCCGCGAAGCCCGUUCAGCGGCGAGGUUCCCCAGUAGCCGCUGGACGUCGACACAGGGGAUGCAGUAGAAGCACUGCGGUAGAAGCAGGAUGCACGAUGCCGGACGCAAACCGGACACGCUCGUAGACGCAACGCCCAAGGAUUCGUGGACCCGGGUGCGAUACCCGGCAGGUCCAUUG
rnacentral:tmRNA from 1 species